GUCAGCAGCCGCGGUAAUACCGGCGGCUCGAGUGGUGGCCACUUUAUGGGCUUAAAGCGUCGUAGCUGGGUAUUAAGCCCUUGGGAAAUCCGACAGCUUAACUGUCGGGCGUCUAAGAGAUACUGGGUAAUCUUGGAACCGGGAGAGGUGAGGGGGUACUUCGGGGGUAGGAGUGAAAUCCUGUAAUCCUCGAGGGACCACCUGUGGCGAAGGCGCCUCACCAGAACGGCUUCGACAGUGAGGGACGAAAGCUGGGGGAGCAAACCGGAUUAGAUACCCGGGUAGUCCCAGCCGUAAACGAUGUGCGUUAGGUGUAUCGGUGACCACGAGUCACCGAGGUGCCGAAGGGAAACCGUGAAACGUACCGCCUGGGAAGUACGGUCGCAAGGCUGAAACUUAAGGAAUUGGCGGGGGAGCACCACAACAGGUGGAGCCUGCGGUUUAAUUGGACUCAACGCCGGAAAUCUCACCGGAUAAGACAGCAGAAUGAUUGCCGGGCUGAAGACUCUGCGUGACUAGCUGAGGAGUGGUGCAUGG
rnacentral:rRNA from 1 species